rnacentral:tRNA from 2 species
GGACUGUUGGUCUAGUGGUAUGAUUCUCGCUUAGGGCUUACCCUGAGUUGCAUGCGAGAGGUCCCGUGUUCGAUCCACGGACAGUCCC